rnacentral:tRNA from 1 species
UCCUCAUUGGUCUAGUGGUCAUGAUUUCCGCUUGUCAUCACGACAAUGCGCGGGAGGUAAAUCUACUCCCCUCAAGCUCAGCUUGGGUCGUCAGCUAACGCACAAAAGACCUGGGUUCGAUUCCCAGAUGGGGAG